rnacentral:tRNA from 1 species
GCGCCCGUAGCUCAGGGGAUAGAGCAGCGGAUUUCUAAUCCGUUGGUCGGGAGUUCGAAUCUCCCCGGGCGCG